rnacentral:rRNA from 1 species
GACGUAGGGCGCGAGCGUUGUCCGGAAUUAUUGGGCGUAAAGAGCUCGUAGGCGGCUUGUCACGUCGGAUGUGAAAGCCCGGGGCUUAACUCCGGGUCUGCAUUCGAUACGGGCUGGCUAGAGUGUGGUAGGGGAGAUCGGAAUUCCUGGUGUAGCGGUGAAAUGCGCAGAUAUCAGGAGGAACACCGGUGGCGAAGGCGGAUCUCUGGGCCGAUACUGACGCUGAGGAGCGAAAGCGUGGGGAGCGAACAGG